CAACCCUCGAACCCCCCGGGGGGUCGGCGUUGGGGAUCGGCCGUCUGACGGCCGGCCCCGAAAUGCAGUGGCGGUCUCGCCGCAGCCUCUCCUGCGCAGUAGUUUGCACACUCGCACCGGGAGCGCGGCGCGCCCACGUCCGUAAAACACCCCAGACUUCUGAAAGG
rnacentral:misc_RNA from 1 species